GUCAAAUAGAAUGGACUUUUAUAGAAUCAGCUGGCUUCAGCUUAUGUGCCUUUCCUCUUGUACAAGUGGACACAGUGAUUCUAACAACAGCAUCUUCUGAAAGCAAAUAAUAGCUGGACUGUAAACACUGUGUGGACCCACAUGCUGUCAAGUGGCAAGAAAAAUGCAUUUCUUCUCUCCUAGUUGAUGAUUCCUCUUUUUGUGAAGAUACAGAAAGAGCCUGCUCUAUUGAGAAGAAUGGUGCAGCGAGAGAUGAAUUAGAUGAGAUUCUACUCCUCGUGCAAGCUCUAGAGCUGAAGCCACCUUGUUUAAACUUCCUGCUUAUUCUGCAAUCAUUUGCCU